GAACAUCAUUACCCUGGGUACAUGUAUGACUACACAUGUAAAACAACUCUACAUUGUGUACAGGCAGAGAAAUAAAUGAAAAGAUGUGCUCAAUAUGCAUACAAAGAAUAGAAAUGCAUUCUGCUAUCAUGUAUAAGUAAUUAGAAUAAAAAAUAAAAAUAGUGAAGAAAAUGAAAGAAAAAAAAUAGUUAAGGAAAUAGUAGGGAAGGAGAAAGGGCCAAACUUUACUGGCUUCACUGAAAAAUAGCUUCUUAUCCUGAGUGUGUGAAAGAGUUUUACUUUUUUAUUCCCUAAGGAUGAAUAAAUUAGAAUUUCUUAGAUUAACAGAAAGGUGAAAACAUCAAAAUGGUAUGUUUAUUGUGGACAAAUAUUUCUGCCUAUGAUGUGAAAAUUUUUCCAAAAAAAAAUUCUAUUAAACAUGUAUCAUACCUUUACAUAUAUUUGUUAAUUCUGAAAAACUCACGAAAUACUCAAAGAUCCAUAGCCUAUAGUGAAGAUGGAAAAAAAGGCACUGCAAAGCAUUUUAUGUGCCACAAAAUAUGAUCUUCAUUUAAAGAAAAUUAAUCAACACAAUUUUGCAUUCAUACUAUCUUCAACCAUCUUUGUUUUUAAAAGCAAAGUGAAGUUACAUUCAAGAAAAAAAAAAUUUUCUUUUUUCUUUUUCUUGGACUGAGAAUGAAACCAGAGGUGCUCUACCACUGAACUACAUUCCCAGGCUUUUUUUUUUGAGACUAGGCCUUGCUAAGGUUCCAAGGCUGGCCUCAAACUUGAGGUCCUCCAAUUUCAGCUUCCUGAAUUUCUAGAACUCUUGGAAUGAAUAAACAUGUACCACCACAUCGGGAUCUAGUAAAAAAUACUGAAAAAAUACUAAAGUAUAAUAUUGUUGACUUUUACUGGGAAGGGCUGCCUGAAUUACAGAAUUCCUAGGCAUAGAGUUUCCUGAUUUAUCCCUGGUUAUUUGUAGCCAAUAUGAACAAAAGGCCUGACUGGGAAAUUCAAAGAGCUAGCAGGGUACUGCCAUAUAAGGGAACUCUUGAUAAUAUUCAUAAAAUUCAAACUUCCACUUUCAAAAAUUAAGAAACACACCAACCCGGACCUAAGGCUUCUCUAUGUAGUGAAAAAACACUGGGGAGGUGGUCAAGAGACUGUAGUGAUCAUCCUCCUUCACAAAGAGGAGAAGAAACAUGUCUUUGGAGUCAAUCAGUGUGCCAUUCUUCCUUACCCAGGAGUCCUUGAAAAUUCCUAGAUCCCUGUCCAAAGAGUCCUUCAUAUCCAAUUUAUAGUAAUAUUUCCCAGGGAACUCUUUGUUCCCCAUGCAGCAAAAUAGUUAGAUCUAUCAGAAUUCAAACAUGAGCCUAGAUGGACAUGCUCAAAUCUUAAACUUCUCACAUCAUCAAAUAGUUUGAUGUUAUGAUCGGUUACUGAAUUUUUGAAGGAAAUUUCCACAGUGGAAAGAAGAGAAUAUUCCAGUCAAAAUCGUCUUUUAAAUUCCUGUUAGAUGAGAAGUUAUACCUUUGACUCUUUUAGUAGGAGAGAUGAGUUAGAAGGCAGAAGUAAAGGGAUAAUUAUGGCUGACGUACAUUGCAAGUUUUCCAGAACAUCUGCAGCAGAAACAAAAGCCCAAUAACAAUGAAAACACUGUUAAAAAUAUGAACACUGUAACAAAAUAGGUGGUCAUGCCUAUUUCUAGCUCAUUGGUUUUCAUUUUACCUGAGAACUGGAGUUCUGCAUUGCCACUAAGUCCAAGGAAAUUACUACUUGCUUUGGUUUCUAUUUAGGUUUACCAUGAAAAUCUAUAUACUGCCUCAACUUCACCAACUCAUUUUAUUUUUGAUGCCCAUAAAAUAUUGCUCUGUGCAUUCAUUAUUUUAUGUUUGUUCAUGUAUUUUAAUAUAUUAAAUUUAAUGCAUUUUUAUAUAUUACAUUUAAUAUAUUACAUGUGAAAUAUUCAAUUACUAAGAUAUUUUAAGGGAAAAUAUUUAAAUAAUCUCCAUCACUAACUGCACCUAAUUUAAAGUGAGAACAUUCUGAACUAAUUUAUAAUUGUCUGACUCAUUUAAGUGAUUUUGUAUCUAUUCCCUGAAUCACAUUUAUCAUUAUAACAGCCUGCAUUUAUUUUUUUUCUUAUUUAAUCAUGGUAAUCAGUUUACUAAUUGUGAUUAUAAAUACGAAUUGACAGGGCAUUUCCUUUUUGGAUACUAAAGGUUAAUAAAGGUAAAUAUUUCCCACAGAAAAUCAUUACUGAAGGGCACUAUACUGUGUUUCCAUAAGUGGGCUGAUACUCACCUUGAAAGCAGAUAAGCCUAUCUAUCAGUCCAGUGAUGGUCUGGGCAGGAAGUGCUGGCUUUAUAGGCUGAGGCAACUGCACUGACUCACUUCUGUAAGGAGGAAGAGGAUAUGAAUCUUGUGGUGUGAAAGAUGUCAUAACAGUUUUUAAGGAACCAAACAACCACUCCACUCAAAAUAUUUCUUGAAACCCUUUUCUCAUCAUUGUGUACCUCCAUCUUCAUGAGAAGGGACUAUUCCUAGGAGUCUUUUUUACUAUAUUUGCCAGUUAACAGCUCAUUUCUCAGAGGUGCCAAUCUCAUUUUCUAACUAGGAAAAACUAUCCCCUGCACCUCAGUAUUUCUGAUUUACCAUGUAAAAUCAUACAGGGUUGUAUUUAUGAAUGUCAGCAUUCAGCCCAGCAAAACAUGCAUCCCUCAACCACAGGAGAAAAGAGAAGCUAACUUCUGAUAAAGGGAACAGGAAAUCAUAUUCACACAAACACAUGCACACACAGUUGAUUACUAAUUACAUAAAGUAUUUCUUCACUUUGUUAGAAACAGCUUGAUCUUCUUCAUAGCUCACAUGGUGCGCUAGUUUUCACUAAAGACUAAACUUACUUUGUCAAUAGACCUCCCAAGUCCUUCAAAGAAAACAAGAAAGGCUUAGAUUUUUUUAAGAAAUAGGAUGGUAUUUUGUUUUUUGUAAAGUUCAGGUAAGUAUCAAAUAUCAUCACAGCAACCCUUUUUAUAAAUUCAUUUUCAUCUCUCAGGACAAUACUGGUAACACAUAUUUGAAGAAACUGAAUUCUUCAAGAAUUCAACACCCAGAGGGUGAGAAAAGAGUGAGAAGGAAGGACAUGGGUAGCACAUAGCAGACAAUGUCUCUAAUGAGGGCAUUUCAAACCCACAAUUUCAAAACAGAUGUAAGGAACCAUUAGCUUUUCCAAAAUUUCUUCAUAUUGUCCAGUGGCAGGCAAAAAUAGAAUGUUGAUGAAUAAGUGGUUAUUUUCUGAUUCUUAGAGAAGUAAGUUUCAAAACAACAGUUUAAGAAGAAAACAUUUCCUAGGACAGCUACUCACAAAAUUCCAUAAAUUUUGCUUAUUUGUAGUCAGAAUAGAAGUUAAACUUUACCUAGAUUAUAUCCAAAGAGGAAAGAACCUCAUCAUUGAUGCAGGAGAUGUGAAAAUUUAGAUGUGGCACUAAGUAAUGUGGUCAAAAUUGAGAAUCUAGGAUUAUGUAAAACACUUUCACCUGCAUCUCAGUGCUCACCUGGAGAAGCUCAACAUAGGGUUUAUGGGACAUUUUCAAUAGCUUCUUAUGUAUUUCUCUUAGGUGUGUCUUCUUUUGAACCGUUUUGCCUUUGCAUUUUUUGAGAUGCUCAAAAAUUAAUUUCCUUUCCUUUUUAAGACUCUAUAUGUAGUUUUUCUUCCUCAAGAAGAAUGGGACACAGUUACUUAUACUCAGCCCUCAUCAGCUCUUCCCAUAGAUACAUGUACCAUUGUAGGGAUAGGUUGUCUAGAUCACCUUUCAGCAAGAUUUUAUCCUUCUCCACUUAAACCUCUCUCUUUGGCCAGUACCUUUUAUCAGUAUGUUACACACACCAUAAAUUCAUAUCUACCCAUUUCUCAGAAAUUGCAAUUUUAUUCCUCUUUAAUCUUGAUUCUUUUUCUAUUCUUUAUAAUGAUGGAAGGAACCAAGCCAUCCUUUUAUCUGCAUUUAUCAACUUUUAUCUGCUUCAUGAGUGUGUAAAAUAUCUAAAGAAAAAGUUUUGACUGAUAAUUUAUCCUCCCACAUAUAAAAGCCUCUAUGCAAGCAAUUAGAAUUUAUAGUUGAGUCACACAUCAUUAUAUGCAAUAGUCUCAUCUCUGUUUAUUAAAUUAAUUUUAAUCUCAAACCUCCCUACAACACUGCUUGGUCAUUUAUUUGACCAAUAUAGUUGAAUGUUACUUUCAAGAUUAGAAAAGCUAUGCCUAAUAUUCUUACACCAUGAUGUUAAAGUGACUAGAGAUAAAUUUUUUGUUUGAAUGUCUCAAGCUGAGUGUUAGGAAAAUAGACUUAUACUUACCAACAAUAGGCUGAUUAUUUUUGUCUCUUCAUUUGGAUUUUUCUGAUUUACUUGGAUAUUUUCCCAUAAUGAUAUUAUUUGCUUUAGUAGCUUCUCCUUUGUAUCUAUGUGUACAUGUACAUUAUAUAUAUAUAUAUAUAUAUAUAUAAAUUAAAACACUUGAGAAACAAAUAUAUUUGUUUCCAUCUCACAAUGAUAGAAUCAAUGAAUAAGAUAUAAGUACUUUAGUAGGAAGAAAAAUUAUAAUGAGCACUAUUAAGGCUUAUUUCAAAUGUAAAAAAAAAACCUUGAGAUAAUGUACUAAAUUGUUCAGAAGGUUGUUUUCUUAGUGCCUGCUGGAAUACUACAGGAUUUUCUUUAGCCAUCCGGAGUUCCUGCCUUUGUCCCAGUGCCAGUGAAGAUGAAGGUGGAAGAAUUUCCAGUGUUGCUGAGAACCCGACAAAACUUCGGCUGAGAAACGGAGGAGACUUUGGAGCUGUUGCUGUUUCUGCUGCUACAGCUUAGGCUAGCUGCCUGCAGAACUUACUGCCUGCAGAACUUACCUGGACUGUGAUUUACCUGGACUGUGAGUUAAUCUAUUGAGACACUGCUUUACCUGGACUGAGAUAACAAACUGUAAUCUACAACAAAUUGUAACUCGGUAUCUUUGCUAACGGUGUCAUUGCUGGUAUAAUUUUUCCAAGGGCUUCUUGCAUGGAGCCAUCAACUGGCUUGGUAUUGUGACAUUUUGUAUCCUCCCCUUCUGCUUGUAGCAGAUUAUAUAUGGUGUUUGUGUAAAAACCACUAUGGUCGUUAUUUAAAUCAAACAAAAGGGGGAAAUGUUAGAGUCUGUAAACAAGUCAGGAUGGCUCCUGGCAUUUUGCCAGAGAAAUGUUAGAGUCUGUAAACAAGUCUGGAUGGUGCCUGGCAAAAUGCCAGAGGGAGUGGUUUGUGAAGUAACACCAGCAAGCCAUUAAG
rnacentral:lncRNA from 1 species